AUGUCCUCCGCCCCUUCCGUCCCUAUUGUUGUUUGUAAUUUUGAUCACUGCUAUAUAUAAACAAUUCCUAUUGUGUUUUAACAAGGUCAACCAAAUAUUUGAUCAGUUUACACACCAAGAAUGAUGUAUUUACUGCAUAUAAUAUGUGAUGGAUAGAUUAUAGGUAGGUAGGUAGGUAAGAGUGCAUACAGUUAAAUAAUUAGCCAUUUCUCAUAUUUCCUCAUAGUUUUAUUUCCUGGUUAAGCAUGCAGGUGACUAUAAUUGUCAUGGAAGGUAUGAAGGAGGUAGCUAUGAUUUUAUCACAUGGCUAUGGGGGAUAAUUAUGACCAUUAUUAUGCUCAAAUGUAAUUAUUGUCUCAUUUUUAUCCUUUUUGUAGUGUAAACUUAAGUAUAAAAAUAAAGAUUUAUGAAUAUGUCAGACAAAUUAUAUACAAUGGGUGAUCACUUGGUAAGUAAUUUUUAUACCUUUGUUGUGGUCUGUGUAGAUGGAGGCUAUUUUGGCAAUAGCCAUGCACUUAGACAUAGCAUGACCAGUCCAUAUGUGGACUGCCUAUGUCUAUUAAACAUGAUUGAAUACCCAAAUUAGAUUCAAGAUUAUGAUAUGUCCCAGGUAUGGAUCCAAAAAUGACCAUGUACUGAAGUUAUAUGGCAUGAGCCAUGUAAAAUAUGGUGGGAAACAUACAAUUGGGGCUGCAUCCCACCAUAAUGCACUAGUCAAUUGAAACCCCGACCCCCGGGAUAGGGAGGGGAAAUUAACAUUUUGACAAUGUUAAAUUUUGGACAUUUAAAUUCCCUGCUACCGGGAGAAUAUUGACUGUUAAAAUUACUGUCCCUAUGUCCCCAGCACUUUGGGAAUUAAUUGUCCUGGCUAAUAAAUUGAUUUGUUAUUUAUUACCCUGUACCCUGGGGGAAAUCUGCAUUAAAACCGUGUUAAUCCACGGCCAUUACCCCGUCAAUUCCCCGCCCUGUCCCGGGGUUGGGGGUUUCAAUUGACUAGUGCAUGCAUAAACAUUGCAAAGGUCCAUUUUGUAAAUUAAUGGCACUAUGUAUUUAAUCAAAUUUAUAGGGCCUGUGAGUUCAUAUCUGGAAUAAAAUAAUGGCAAAUCUACAGAAAUAUCACUGCUAAGGAGUGUCAAACAAAUUCAGGAGGACUGAAUUAACUGGAUGUUCUCAGGAUGAAAAAGAAAUUGCUGACUUUAAUUGAAUAAUCAUUAUCAUUAAUGUUAAAGGUUAAAAAUAUUGAACAUUCAAAAGGAUGCAGACAGAAAAUUGAAAGUAGGGCCUGAAUUUCAGGUUAAGUGAUCCAGGAAUGGGGUUGGCCCUCUGCAGGCUAAAUCAAUUGAGGGAGAUCCCUUUAUUUCAAGUUAAAUGAUUAUUUGAAUAAGAUGCCAUUCAGGCAGUAAGGGCCUGGUUAGGUCCAUAUUUUAAUUCAAAUUAUUAAGUACUCGAUUUAUCCAUCAACAAAACCCAACAUUAAAAUUUCCAUCGAGUGAGAUGCAACAAAACCAUCUAUAGUUUAUUAAUUAUGUUAACCUAACCAUCAAUUGGC
rnacentral:lncRNA from 1 species